rnacentral:lncRNA from 1 species
UGUUGUGGGAGGGACCCAGUGGGAGGUAACUGAAUCAUGAGGGCAGGUCUUUCCUGUGCUGUUCUCAUGAUAGUAAGUAGUAAGUCUCAUGAGAUCUAAUGGUUAUUAUAAGGGGGGAGUUUUCCUGCACAAGCUCUCUUUGCCUGCUGCCAUCCAUGUAAGAUGUGACUUGCUGCUCCUUGCCUUCUGCCAUGAUUGUGAAGCCUCCCCAGCCACGUGGAACUGUAAGUCCAAUAAACUUCUUUCUUUUGUAAAUUGCCCAGUCUCGGGUAUGUCUUUAUUAGCAGCAUGAAAACAGACUAAUACACUUGGAAAAUCCUAAAAUGGACCUCCUCAAACACUUAUGGACAAAAACUUUUGAACAUCAUUCUAAGUAAAACACCUCAUUUGAAAUUUUCAAAUUUAUUUUUAUUAACAAAAAUAUAUUAUUUUUAUAAGAAGAUCCAAUGAAUCUACUUGACAGACCUGGAGCAGUUACUGUUUCUACCAUAGAUACACAAAAAAAAUGUUCUCACAUUUUCUGUUUGUGGCAGCCAAGAUCAAAUGGGGGAUACAGAAAUUACAAAAACAUGUUGAGAGAUAAUUUUUGCAACUUAGAAAUAACCCUGUAAACAGUGAAGAGCCUGUUUUAUUCCAAAAAAGGAAUUAAAAAGUUGAGUUUAUAUCUGUAGAAAUUGGCAGAUCCUCUGUGGUAAUGCAUUUUUAACUUGAAAUGAAAAAGUAUUUCACAUAAAAGGACAAAUUUGCACCAACUAUUAUAAAACUUUCUUCAAAUGUCUACAAAAACAUACUCAUAAAGAUGUGCCAAAUGUGGAACAGUCCACACAUAUCCGCCAUACUAAUUUAUUUACUGUAUACGAAUCAACUUUAAAAGGCUAUGAAAGAAGCACCUG